rnacentral:rRNA from 1 species
GACGAACGCUGGCGGCGUGCUUAACACAUGCAAGUCGAACGGAAAGGCCUUUUCGGAGGUACUCGAGUGGCGAACGGGUGAGUAACACGUGGGUGAUCUGCCCUGCACUCUGGGAUAAGCCUGGGAAACUGGGUCUAAUACCGGAUAGGACCGCACUUUAGUGUGUGUGGUGGAAAGUUUUUUCGGUGUGGGAUGAGCCCGCGGCCUAUCAGCUUGUUGGUGGGGUAAUGGCCUACCAAGGCGGCGACGGGUAGCCGGACUGAGAGGUUGGUCGGCCACAUUGGGACUGAGGGACGGCCCAGACUCCUACGGGAGGCAGCAGUGGGGAAUAUUGCACAAUGGGCGCAAGCCUGAUGCAGAGACGCCGCGUGGGGGAUGACGGCCUUCGGGUUGUAAACUCCUUUCGCCAGGGACGAAGCGUUUUGUGACGGUACCUGGAGAAGAAGCACCGGCUAACUACGUG